rnacentral:rRNA from 1 species
GACGAACGCUGGCGGCAUGCCUAAUACAUGCAAGUCGAGCGAACAGAUGAAGUGCUUGCACUUCUGACGUUAGCGGCGAACGGGUGAGUAACACGUAAGGAAUCUACCUAUAAGCGGGGGAUAACAUUCGGAAACGGGUGCUAAUACCGCAUAAUAUCUUCUUCCGCAUGGAAGGAGAUUGAAUGACGGCUCUGAUGUCACUUAUAGAUGACCUUGCGGUGCAUUAGUUAGUUGGUGGGGUAACGGCCUACCAAGACGAUGAGGCAUAGCCGACCUGAGAGGGUGAUCGGCCACAUUGGGACUGAGACACGGCCCAAACUCCUACGGGAGGCAGCAGUAGGGAAUCUUCCGCAAUGGGCGAAAGCCUGACGGAGCAAUGCCGCGUGAGUGAAGAAGGCCUUCGGGUCGUAAAACUCUGUUAUAAGAGAAGAACAAAUUGUAGAGUAACUGCUACAGUCUUGACGGUAUCUUAUCAGAAAGCCACGGCUAACUACGUGCCAGCCGCCGCGGUAA